CUACUACUCCCUCCGUCCGAAAAAGCUUAUCCCUAAAAUGGAUGUAUCUAGCACCAAAUUAGUGCUAGAUCCAUCCAUUUGAGGAACAAAUAUGGGACAAGCUUUUUCAGACGGAGGGAGUACUAU
rfam:Triticum aestivum genome assembly, contig: Triticum_aestivum_CS42_TGACv1_scaffold_081667_1DS